rnacentral:misc_RNA from 1 species
CUGUACCUCAAGCCCGGCUUGUGUGUUGGGCCCACCGUCCCAUGGACGGUGACCCGAAAGGCAGUGGCGGCGUCGCGUCCCGGUCCUUGAAGCGUAUGGGGCUUUGUCACCCGCUUGGAGGCCCGGCCGACCCCGUAGCCCAUCGUGGAUCUUCCACAAUUUUUUUCU